AUGUGGACUACCCCGAAGACUCCAGCAGAAAACUGUUACAUCUAAUAAAUAAAAACACUGAUGAAAGAAAUUGAAGGGGACACAAAUAAAUGGAAAGAUACCAAUCUUGUGGAUUGCAAGAAUAUUGUUAAAAUGAACAUACGGCUUAGAGCAGCCGAGAAUGUUUAGCAGAUAAAAAUUUCUACCUAGAAUUUAACACAUUUGUUCUCAAUACAUCUCUUUAUGACCAUCUCUUCUGCACAGCAAGUGGUAACAUCAGUCUUCAUUUCCCAUCUCUGGGUAAGGCAAU
rnacentral:lncRNA from 1 species